rnacentral:rRNA from 1 species
UACCUCUAGGUAAGGAAUAGCUACGGGAAACUGUAGGUAAUACCUUAUAAUAUGUGCANCCCUNAAAGAUUUAUCGCCUAGAGAGGAGCCCGUGCCAGAUUAGGUCGUUGGUGGGGUAACAGCCUACCAAGCCUAUGAUCUGUAGUUGGUCUGAGAGGAUGAUCAGCCACACUGGGACUGAGAACGGCCCAGACUCCUACGGGGGGCAGCAGUGGGGAAUAUUGGACAAUGGGGGAAACCCUGAUCCAGCAAUGCCGCGUGAGUGAAGAAGGCCUUUGGGUUGUAAAGCUCUUUCACCUGUGACGAUAAUGACGGUAGCAGGACAAGAAGCCCCGGCUAACUCCGUGCCAGCAGCCGCGGUAAGACGGAGGGGGCAAGCGUUAUUCGGAAUUACUGGGCGUAAAGGGUGCGUAGGCGGUUUUUUAAGCAAGGUGUGAAAGCCCUGGGCUCAACCCAGGAACGGCGCUUUGAACUGAAGAACUAGAGUACGAAAGAGGAAAGAGGAAUUCCUAGUGUAGGGGUGAAAUCCAUAGAUAUUAGGAAGAACACCAAAGGCGAAGGCGACUUUCUGGUUCGUAACUGACGCUGAGGCACGAAAGCGUGGGGAGCAAAUAGGAUUAGAUACCCUAGUAGUCCACGCUGUAAACGAUGAAUGCUAGGCGUUGGAGGUUCGUCCUUCAGUGUCGCAGCUAACGCGUGAAGCAUUCCGCCUGGGGAGUACGGUCGCAAGAUUAAAACUCAAAGGAAUUGACGGGGGCCUGCACAAGCGGUGGAGCAUGUGGUUUAAUUCGACGCAACGCGCAAAACCUUACCAGCUUUUGACAUAGGGACAGAAGGCAUCAGAGAUGAAGCCUGCGGUUCGGCCGGGUCCCGUACAGGUGCUGCAUGGCUGUCGUCAGCUCGUGUCGUGAGAUGUUGGGUUAAGUCCCGCAACGAGCGCAACCCUCGUUCUUAGUUGCCAGCAGUUCGGCUGGGGACUCUAAGAAAACUGCCGGUGACAAGCCGGAGGAAGGUGGGGAUGAUGUCAGGUCCUCAUGGCCCUUAUGGGCUGGGCUACACACGUGCUACAAUGGCGAUCACAAUGAGAAGCAAGGGGGUGACCCGGAGCCAAUCUCUAAAAAUCGUCUCAGUUCGGAUUGUUCUCUGCAACUCGAGAGCAUGAAGUU